GACGAACGCUGGCGGCGUGCCUAACACAUGCAAGUCGAACGGAGAGAUACGAGAGCUUGCUCUUGUAAAUCUUAGUGGCAAACGGGUGAGUAACGCGUAAACAACCUGCCCAACGGAUGGGGACAACAGACGGAAACGACUGCUAAUACCCAAUAGACUCCGGUUUCGCAUGAAACCGACAGGAAAGGUGGCCUCUCGAAGAAGCUACCGCCGCAGGAGGGGUUUGCGUUUGAUUAGUUAGUUGGUGGGGUAACGGCCUACCAAGACGAUGAUCAAUAGCCGGUCUGAGAGGAUGAACGGCCACACUGGAACUGAGACACGGUCCAG
rnacentral:rRNA from 1 species